rnacentral:sRNA from 12 species
GCACACCCCAGACCUUUUUCAGUCUGGCAGCAACACAUUCGAGCGGUUGGCGGUUGGUGAUUAUGGGCAUAACAUUGGCAAUACCCUUUUCUCAGGCUCCGUGCAGGGUGUUUUUCCUGCAUAGUAACUUUUAUCUCCGAGCGCACAAGGGCGCAUUUAUGGCAUUAUUCUGUUACCUCUCUUUUCUACACGGCUCUCGCACUCCCAAAUUUGCGUGCUUUGCGUGUACGGACUAUUUGCACAAAUAGACCGCUCCAACUUGCUACAUUGGUCUGUAGUUCCGCUCGGUGUGGUUAUUUAACACCCUAUUUAAGCGUUCCGAAACGCACGGACAAUUUUUGAUUUUCCCAGCCUCAAAAAUAGGUUUCCCACAAAAAGGGCUGUUGUUUU